rnacentral:rRNA from 1 species
GGGGAGCGGCAGACGGGUGAGUAACGCGUGGGAAUCUACCCUGAUCUGCGGAAUAGCUCCGGGAAACUGGAAUUAAUACCGCAUGUGCCCUGAGGGGCAAAGAUUUAUCGGUUCAGGAUGAGCCCGCGUCCGAUUAGCUAGUUGGUGGGGUAAAGGCCUACCAAGGCGACGAUCGGUAGCUGGUCUAAGAGGAUGAUCAGCCACAUUGGGACUGAGACACGGCCCAAACUCCUACGGGAGGCAGCAGUGGGGAAUAUUGGACAAUGGGCGCAAGCCUGAUCCAGCCAUGCCGCGUGAGUGAUGAAGGCCCUAGGGUUGUAAAGCUCUUUCAGUGGGGACGAUAAUGACGGUACCCACAGAAGAAGCCCCGGCUAACUUCGUGCCAGCAGCCGCGGUAAUACGAAGGGGGCUAGCGUUGUUCGGAAUUACUGGGCGUAAAGCGCACGUAGGCGGACAUUUAAGUCAGGGGUGAAAUCCCGGGGCUCAACCCCGGAACUGCCUUUGAUACUGGGUGUCUUGAGUUCGGAAGAGGUGAGUGGAAUUGCGAGUGUAGAGGUGAAAUUCGUAGAUAUUCGCAGGAACACCAGUGGCGAA